rnacentral:rRNA from 6 species
UUGUCUCAAAGAUUAAGCCAUGCAUGUCUCAGUACAAGCCGAAUUAAGGUGAAACCGCGAAAGGCUCAUUAAAUCAGUUAUGGUUCCUUAGAUCGUACCCACAUUUACUUGGAUAACUGUGGUAAUUCUAGAGCUAAUACAUGCAAACAGAGCUCCAACCGGAAACGGAAGGAGCGCUUUUAUUAGAUCAAAACCAAUCGGUGGCGAAAUCCGUCAUCGUACAACUUGGUGACUCUGAAUAACUUUACGCUGAUCGCACGGUCUCGCACCGGCGACGCAUCUUUCAAAUGUCUGCCUUAUCAACUGUCGAUGGUAGGUUCUGCGCCUACCAUGGUUGUAACGGGUAACGGGGAAUCAGGGUUCGAUUCCGGAGAGGGAGCCUGAGAAACGGCUACCACAUCCAAGGAAGGCAGCAGGCGCGCAAAUUACCCACUCCCGGCACGGGGAGGUAGUGACGAAAAAUAACGAUACGGGACUCAUCCGAGGCCCCGUAAUCGGAAUGAGUACACUCUAAACCCUUUAACGAGGAUCAAUUGGAGGGCAAGUCUGGUGCCAGCAGCCGCGGUAAUUCCAGCUCCAAUAGCGUAUAUUAAAGUUGUUGCGGUUAAAAAGCUCGUAGUCGAAUCUGUGUCCCGCGCCGCCGGUUCAUCGUUCGCGGUGUUAACUGGCGUGCCGCGGGACGUCCUGCCGGUGGGCUUAGCUCGAGAGGGCGGCCCAACUCAAUCCCGCCGCGGUGCUCUUCAUUGAGUGUCGAGGUGGGCCGGCACGUUUACUUUGAACAAAUUAGAGUGCUUAAAGCAGGCUAAAACUUCGCCUGAAUACUGUGUGCAUGGAAUAAUGGAAUAGGACCUCGGUUCUAUUUUGUUGGUUUUCGGAACCCCGAGGUAAUGAUUAAUAGGAACGGAUGGGGGCAUUCGUAUUGCGACGUUAGAGGUGAAAUUCUUGGAUCGUCGCAAGACGGACAGAAGCGAAAGCAUUUGCCAAAAACGCUUUCAUUGAUCAAGAACGAAAGUUAGAGGUUCGAAGGCGAUCAGAUACCGCCCUAGUUCUAACCAUAAACGAUGCCAGCUAGCGAUCCGCCGACGUUCCUCCGAUGACUCGGCGGGCAGCUUCCGGGAAACCAAAGCUUUUGGGUUCCGGGGGAAGUAUGGUUGCAAAGCUGAAACUUAAAGGAAUUGACGGAAGGGCACCACCAGGAGUGGAGCCUGCGGCUUAAUU